rnacentral:tRNA from 1 species
GCCUCUGUAGCUCAGUGGCAGAGCACUGGUCUUGUAAACCAGGGGUCGUGAAUUCAAUCCUCACAGGAGGCA